rnacentral:rRNA from 1 species
CCGGAUUUACUGGGCGUAAAGAGCGCGCAGGCGGUCGUAUAAGUCGAAUGUGAAAGCCCCUGGCUCAACUAGGGAGAGUCAUUCGAUACUGUUCGACUCGAAGGCAGGAGAGGGAAGUGGAAUUCCGGGUGUAGUGGUGAAAUGCGUAGAUAUCCGGAGGAACACCAGUGGCGAAGGCGACUUUCUGGCCUGUUCUUGACGCUGAGGCGCGAAAGCUAGGGGAGCAAACGGG